rnacentral:rRNA from 1 species
GCUCAGGAUGAACGCUAGCGGCAGGCUUAACACAUGCAAGUCGAGGGGCAGCAUGCGGGUUAGCAAUAACCUGUGAUGGCGACCGGCGCAAGGGUGCGUAACGCGUGAGCAACUUGCCCGUUUCAGGGGGAUAACCGGUGGAAACGCCGACUAAUACCCCAUGGUGAUAUCUUAAGGCAUCUUAUGAUAUCUAAAGAGUUUCGGAAACGGAUAGGCUCGCGUGACAUUAGCUGGACGGCGGGGUAACGGCCCACCGUGGCAACGAUGUCUAGGGGUUCUGAGAGGAAGGUCCCCCACACUGGAACUGAGACACGGUCCAGACUCCUACGGGAGGCAGCAGUGAGGAAUAUUGGUCAAUGGUCGGAAGACUGAACCAGCCAAGUAGCGUGAAGGAUGAAGGUUCUAUGGAUUGUAAACUUCUUUUAUACGGGAAUAAAACACACCACGUGUGGUGUCUUGUAUGUACCGUAUGAAUAAGCAUCGGCUAACUCCGUGCCAGCAGCCGCGGUAAUACGGAGGAUGCGAGCGUUAUCCGGAUUUAUUGGGUUUAAAGGGAGCGUAGACGGGAUGUUAAGUCAGUUGUGAAAGGCUGCGGCUCAACCGCAGCACUGCAGUUGAUACUGGUGUCCUUGAGUGCGGUUGAGGUGUGUGGAAUUCGUGGUGUAGCGGUGAAAUGCUUAGAUAUCACGAAGAACUCCCGAUUUGCGAAGGCAGCACACUAACCGGCUACUGACGUUGAGGCUCGAAAGUGUGGGUAUCAAACAGGAUUAGAUACCCUGGUAGUCCACACGGUAAACGAUGAAUACUCGCUGUUGGCGAUAUAUUGUCAGCGGCCAAGCGAAAGCAUUAAGUAUUCCACCUGGGGAGUACGCCGGCAACGGUGAAACUCAAAGGAAUUGACGGGGGCCCGCACAAGCGGAGGAACAUGUGGUUUAAUUCGAUGAUACGCGAGGAACCUUACCCGGGCUUAAAUUGCAGGGGACAGCUCAAGAGAUUGAGCCUUCUUCGGACUCCUGUGAAGGUGCUGCAUGGUUGUCGUCAGCUCGUGCCGUGAGGUGUCGGCUUAAGUGCCAUAACGAGCGCAACCCUUGCCAAUAGUUACUAUCAGGUUAUGCUGAGGACUCUAUUGGGACUGCCAUCGUAAGAUGUGAGGAAGGUGGGGAUGACGUCAAAUCAGCACGGCCCUUACGUCCGGGGCUACACACGUGUUACAAUGGGAGGUACAGAAGGCCGCUACCCGGCGACGGGAUGCCAAUCCCCAAAACCUCUCUCAGUUCGGAUUGGAGUCUGCAACCCGACUCCAUGAAGCUGGAUUCGAUAGUAAUCGCGCAUCAGCCACGGCGCGGUGAAUACG